rfam:Paenibacillus sp. oral taxon 786 str. D14 genomic scaffold supercont1.10, whole genome shotgun sequence.
AGCAAUAGAAUAGGCUUGCAAGGGCGGUCGGCUACCUCUCAUUCUCUAGGAAGGGAGGGAUGCCAAAUGGAAGUUUAUCAAGCAUUAACGCUAAUGAUCUCAUUCGCGACAUUAAUGGUCCUGAUACUUUCCUUCCAUAAACACAAAUAGACCGCCCUCGGCAAAGGAAUCGGUCUAUUUGUACUGAGAUCCUACACAGCCUGCCGCCCUUAAAAGCGGCUAUUGCCCGGAGCCGUGCCCUGUAAGCACGG